UUGCUGCAGCUGGAAACUCUCUUGAAAUUUUAUGUUUCGGCAUAUCGAAAUCUUACCCUCCAGUGCUUAUCUGAGGGGUGAUUAGUAAUGAUAGGAGGUCCAUUGUUGAAACUACUAUAGAAGGAAAUUCAUUAUCGGUUUUGACUGCCAAGAGCACUUACAGAAGGGACUCACUUAAUCUUUUCAAUCGUACACUGGAGGGUGGAUCAAUAGAUCUGGUGCAAAAUGGAGACAUCAUAGUAAUUGACGGCUGAGGAGAUGGAGGAGCGAAGGAGAAAGUAGACCCCACCUGCAUACAAAGCUAACAGAGGAGCAAUGUGCAAGUUUAUCAAGAACGUGCAGUCGGCUUCAAGGGGUUUUGUAACUGAUGAGUAGCCAAAUACCCAAAUGAGAAAGCAUUUGAUUAAUCUGAAGCAAAAAAAGCUCUUCACUUUUCCAAUGCAUUUCAAGAUUUGGGCUCUUCUCCUUCCCUCCCAGAUAUAGGAGCGGUUAGAGAGUUUUCUAGGAGUUAAGUAUGAUUUGAGAGAUGUAUUUUCAUGGACUCUACUUCGACGGUCCGACCCUAAAGCAGAUCAUGUUACCUUGGAACCCCAAAAGAUUAAAACAAUUCAAAAUUGGCGGUGACUCUCUCUGUUAUGGAGGAAUGUUUUUUGCCUAUCAUUGACCCCAGAAGUAGUGUCAAUUUGAUAUGUCACAUCAUCUAUAGCUGUGGGUAAGAUCUUGUUCGUGCAAGAUAUUUACGUGUGGAUUUUUUUGAUAUGAAUAAUAUACUAUGUAUGUUAUAUCAAAAAUGGGCUUAGGUUUUUUAUCUUAAUCUUUAUUUUAGUAGAUACUUGAAUGGAUGGGUCAAUUGAUGUCAAAGUAGGAGGGAUUGAGUUUGGUCAGGGUCUAUGAAACAAAGUAAAACAGAUGGCAGCAUUUUCUCAAAGUUUGAUAAAGUGUGCUGGAAGUGAUGAUUUAUUGGAUAAGGUAAGAGUAAUACAAGCAGAUACAUUAAGCAUGGUACAUGGCGGUUUACUGCUGGAAGCACUACUUCUGAGUCAAGAUGUGAGGAUCUGCUGCAAUACAUUGGUUGAAAUAUUAACCCCUCUGAAGGAAAGUCAACAAGAGCAAAUGGGAUCUGUUAACCGGAGACGCUUAUUUUUUAGAAAUAGUUUUUUGUUUUUGGCAAAGUGAAGAAUUGCAGUGUGCAGACUUGACAUGGUAGUCAAGCAGUUUGCAGACUUGAUAUGGUGAUCAAGAAGCGCUGGUCUUUUUCUGGUUUUUUUUAUCUUCUGUUUUAUGUAAUUGAAUGUGUUAUGUGAAGUUCUAAUUGUAAUAGAUUUUUUUUAAUGAAAGCUAAUUGUAUUGAUAGUAAGAUCUCGUUCGUUCUUUUGCAAUGAAAGUUAAAGCUACUUGCAGUGGAACAUUAAUGAAGUAUUUGUUGUCAUCU